rnacentral:rRNA from 1 species
GACGAACGCUGGCGGCGUGCUUAACACAUGCAAGUCGAACGGAAAGGCCCUGCUUUUGUGGGGUGCUCGAGUGGCGAACGGGUGUGUAACACGUGAGUAACCUGCCCUUGACUUUGGGAUAACUUCAGGAAACUGGGGCUAAUACCGGCUAGGAGCUCCUGCUACAUGGUGGGGGUUGGAAAGUUUCGGCGGUUGGGGAUGGACUCGCGGCUUAUCAGCUUGUUGGUGGGGUAGUGGCUUACCAGGGCUUUGACGGGUAGCCGGCCUGAGAGGGUGACCGGCCACAUUGGGACUGAGAUACGGCCCAGACUCCUACGGGAGGCAGCAGUGGGGAAUAUUGCACAAUGGGCGGGAGCCUGAUGCAGCAACGCCGCGGGCGGGAUGACGGCCUUCGGGUUGUAAACCGCUUUCGCCUGUGACGAAGCGUGAGUGACGGUAAUGGGUAAAGAAGCACCGGCUAACUACGUG